rnacentral:rRNA from 1 species
UACGAAGGGGGCUAGCGUUGUUCGGAAUUACUGGGCGUAAAGCGCACGCAGGCGGCUCGAUAAAUUAGAAGUGAAAGCCCCGGGCUUAACCUGGGAAUUGCUUUUAAGACUGUCGGGCUAGAAUCCAGAAGAGGGUAGUGGAAUUCCGAGUGUAGAGGUGAAAUUCGUAGAUAUUCGGAAGAACACCAGUGGCGAAGGCGACUACCUGGUCUGCAUUGACGCUCAUGUGCGAAAGCGUGGGGAGCAAACAGG